GCUUGGAUAGCCCAGUUGGUUAGAGCGUGGUGCUGAUAAGGGCAAGGUUGCAGGUUUGACAGCUGCAUAUUCCUGCAUUGCAGAGAGCU